AUAACAAUGCCGACGAGGACAAAGACGAGACGUUGUUCACGAAGCAUGUAGCGAAUCGGGCGAGUGAUGGAAAGCCAUCUCUUGGACGGCUUCGGCGAGUAGGAGUCAGUCGUAUGCUGGGUUUCGUCGUGGCCUCUAAAUAUCAACUCCGACACCAUCUUCUCGACUAAAAUUCUGAGACGAAGAACAGAAUUUCUUUCAAUCUCAAUGUGCGAAGUCUUCGUUUCUCUUUUGUGGUUUGUCUAGAUCUAUUCAAGAGGACUCGCUCGCCAGAAACACAGUCCCCGGCUAUGAACUUG
rnacentral:misc_RNA from 1 species